UAACCUGCCUCUUAGCGGGGGAUAACUAUUGGAAACGAUAGCUAAUACCGCAUAAAAGUCGACAUUGCAUGAUGUUGACUUGAAAGGUGCAAUUGCAUCACUAAGAGAUGGGCCUGCGUUGUAUUAGCUAGUUGGUGAGGUAACGGCUCACCAAGGCGACGAUACAUAGCCGACCUGAGAGGGUGAUCGGCCACACUGGGACUGAGACACGGCCCAG
rnacentral:rRNA from 1 species